AUAACAUUGCCUUCCGGCCCGGAUCUUUCGAUCCACAUAACAUUGCCUUCCGGCCCGGACCUUUCGGUCCACAAGAUAAUCGCCUUCCGGCCCGUACACAUAUAUAACACAUAAUACAAAUACUCUAACACAUAAAGCACAUAUAUCAUAUAUCAUACCUGACCAUUCCUGUCACAUAAUACCUUGCCUUCCGGCCCAUAUAUAAACAUGUAUAUCACGCGUAGCAGCUAACUUUCCAUUUAUAGCAUAUAAACAUAAUACAUAACAUACUUGACCUUCCGGUCACACAAUCAAACCCUUCCGGGUGAGGUAUAGUGAGAAGACUCACCUCGCGGACACUGGAAGAUAGCAACUCCUAAAAUCCCUUGCACUUGAUCCUCCGAGCUACAAGCUCCCUGUAACAUCAUAUAUCCCUUAUUAAUACUUCUAUCUUCCACGUUAACUGACCCUAAGAAAUCACACCAGUCAACUCUGGUCAACAGUCCAUUGUCAGCUCGACUGGACUCGGCGAGUUCCCUGGCGACUCGGCGAGUCUGGUCGUCCUUCAAUCCUCUAAGAUUCCCCUUCUACUCGUCGAGUAUCCUCUUUGACUCGACGAGUCACUCCUGGAAGAAUCGCGGGGCCACCCCGACUCCACUCGCCGAGUCUGAAGAACAACUCGGCGAGUCCCAGUGAAUCUUCAAGCUACUCGCCGAGUCUGAUCAUCCGACUCGGCGAGUCCACGCCAUGCAGUCGAUCAAACUGCUUCCUGAGAUACAUAUUUUCCCGAAUAUACAAACAUAGGACCUUCUGGACCUCUAAGGGGUACUAAUACAGGGUUAUAAACGUUGGAUAAUAACACAACAAUCCAUCUAAUCCCAAAUGGGUUUCAUAAACCCUAAAUUCGUGUACACAUCAAAAUAACAGGAAUGAUCCGAAACAUAACCUGAAAACGUACUCUCUGUGUCCCCAAACCUCAGAACUCGACCCCCUUGCUCUUCCUUUGGCCAAAAUCCUUCCUCUUCUUGCACCACAAUUCCUUCAAAGUCAAUAAUGGCCUUCAAGUUUGCUCUAGAUGCCACAGUCGUUUAGGGUUCUCCACAAUCGGCCAAAAGACGUGAAAUGACGACAUAACAACCCUUAUAUACGACCCAAUACGAAACGGCUAGGGUUUCCGCUGAACAGCGUCGACUCGCCGAGUCCAUAUCUGGACUCGUCGAGUCCAGUCGUGAACCCGCGACCAAACCUGCGACCCUACUCGGCGAGUCUGGCUCCAACUCGUCGAGUCUCCCCUUUAAAACACCCCCAAAAUGCAAUUUAACAAUACUUGAGAUUUUGGGCUGUUACAAUUCUCCCCCACUAGAAUUAGACUUCGCCCUCGAAGUCUCACUCUGAAAAUAGCUCUGGCUGCUGCUCCCGCAUCUCACGUUUCGGCUUCCCUAGACACUACCGAUCUCUCCCGAGACCGCUACUGAACCAAUACCAGAGGUACCUCCUUGUUCCUCAGAACCUUGAUCUUCCGAUCUCCGACGGCCACUGGCCUCUCGACGUAACACAGGCUCGCAUCCACCUAAUCGUUCUCUAGUAGAACCACUGCUGACUCAUCCGCUAUACACCUCUUCAACUGCGACACAUACCAGUGUCAUGGAUCCGUCCCAAUUCCGUUGACAGCUCCAAACGAUAGGCCACCCUUCCUACCUUCGCACCUUCACGAAAAGACCCAACAUACCGGGGCCCCCCAUUUACCCCUCUUCCUAAAUCGAAGCACCCCGUCAGAAAUACGAAGUCGCUGACCUGAAUCACAUGCUCGUAACGGCGUCUGCCUGCAUAACUUUCCUGUUAACUCUAGACGAUCACUAACUCUCUUUAACCUGCUGAGUCUGCUUUGUCAACUAAAGUACGAACUCUGAACUGCUCAUCACUCUCUGUAAUCGGAAAUUACCCAAGAUGCACUCUGCUCCAAAUCUCAACGAUCACUCAACCCAUAAGGGUUAGGAAACCCUGAACCACCGGAUCCCCGAUCCAAAGCCCACUUUGCCCAUUCCGGACCGACUGAGAGAUCCGUUCUCCCUCUCAGAUCAACUCUCACAAGUUCCCUCUUGCCAUCACAUACACAUACUGAACUAGUCCCAACACCCGCAGGUGGAAAGACCCGAUACACUGAUGAUAUCCUCGAACAUCUCCCAAGAUGAACCACUACAUCCACCCUACACUCUGAUCAGAUUCACACUGAGAAUUUAAAAUUUUCUCUCUCCAUGCAUCCCUUCUGAGCCUCAACAGACAUCCCAACCGGAUGGGUUCCUACUCCACUGCCGCGAACACGAUGCUCAAAACCAUACUCGAAAUACUCUAACCAUAACUCUGCUCUGCAGCUUUCACUUUCGUGAACUUGCACCCCCUUCGGAGUUACAUACCCUCCUCUUUUCCUUUUCCACGGAACUCUCUUGAACAUAAUGCCACUCCAACCGGUGCCACGGUGCUCGCCCCAAGCGACACCACCCUUUUUGCGUAACUGCUAUUCACAUACUCUGGUUCUCAUUGCAGGGGCUCUCAAUCCCAUGCACUCUCUCCACUCAUCAAAAUCACUGCCUCCGCUAAACAAGAUCAAUAACCCGGGGCCAGACCUUCCAAUGCAAUCACACUGCAACAUACGCGAUCCGCAAAUCUCAAACUAAUCCAGCAAUACCAACAGAGUCUCCAGUAUGACUGGACCGACUCUCAUAACACAUACUAGCCACUCGAGGCUAUAUCUCUGUGGGUCCGUACACCCAAACUCUGCGAACCCUCAGGUUCUAACUCUGGGAACCUUCCGGUUCCAGCUCUAGAAACAUGCACAACAUAAUCCCGUGGGAUUAAUGCAGUACAACCAUCACGUACCUCAAACGUACCAAUACUCUGAUCGCAAAAUUCCGAUUACUUACUCAAGCUUGAUCCCGACCUCCUCUCAGGCCUCCACAAUCAAAUGCCCUAGGUCUGUAUCUCGCCCCGCAUACCCAACACUCGCUCUCGUCGGCCUAUACUUUGCGCUGACAAACACUGCUGAAUCCCAACAGCUAAGCACCCUUACAUACUCAUCGAUCUCCCGGAGAAUUUUAUAAUUCUCCCCCACUAAAGCACUGACUAACUGCCACCGAUCGUCAUUAACGACCUUUCAGAACCAUCCUGCACAAAGAGAACAUUUACCCACUGACUGCUUCCCACAAGCGUAAGCAACCCUCAGCAAAACACAUCUCCUCCCUGAUCAAUCCGCUCAAAAGAAUCCGAUCUUUCAAUUAUCCACUCCACAACUGCAGAUGCUACCCGUCAUUCAACCCAGUGCCGCAUCUCCACUAUCAACCCUCACGAACGAUGACCAACGGAAUUCCCAAGCAAUAACCCAUAACCAAACCCACAACCUGCCAAAGGUUGAAUAUCGCAUCGAAAACCGCACAAGGCUACCGGUACCAAAACACCAAACUAUAAUCAUACCAAACCAUCAGGGAACAACGAAUGCCAAGCGAAAACCUGAAGCACCAAUCCAUAACCAUGCCAAACCCGCGAAACAACGAAUACCGCAUCGAAAUCCACACCAGACACCAGCACAAACAAUACGCCACAAUCAACGCAAGCUACUCAAGACAUCAAGAGAGCAUCAUACCCGCAGCUGCCUCCGGCACUGCUCCGUCUCCCUCUGCCGCAAGCCGAUAAGCACGACCCUGAGCCCUUGGGCUCUGCUCCAUCCUGUCCUCCUCCUGAACUCCUCAAGGUGGCCGAUGCUAGAGCCUGCACCGGUCCUGCAGGAAACUGUGGACGGUUGACCCUCAAAUGUCCAACCUGCCGACACUGAUAACAAAUCCUGAAAUCCCGAAUUGGCACUGACUGCCGACAAUCCCGUGCACCAUGCCCCUCCUUUCCGCACUUGCGGCAUGCACCAUUGGGCCAACAAGCUCCGGUGCCAUCUCUCUCACACUUCCCACAAGUGUGACCGCUCCGAUCCCCCAUUUCAACGUCUACGGUCCUGAACCGUUUCGGCGCCGACUGCGACUGCAUCGGGGCCUGUCCCAGCUCACGCAACUGCAACUUAACCUCUAACUCACGCCACAUGGCGGCCUUCUGCAACUCCAACAGGGUCUCGCACCUCCGCGCAGACACGAACUGUCUGAUACCCCCUUGAGCUUACUCGAAUAUCGGGCAUCUGAGCCUGCUCCGAAGCGAACUCAGGGCAAAACAUCGCCCUCUCAAUAAACAUCCCGGUGCUCUCAGUCACCGACUCCAAAUCCUGCUUCAGCUUAAGGAACUUCCGAGCCAAUUUCUCCUUUUCAUCCCGCGGAACAUAGCGAGUACUGAACAUCCCUCUGAAUUGAUCCCAUGAAACCGCAGCCCUCUGCGCAUCGGAAAAUGACCUCGUGGUCAAUCUCCACCAAUCCUUCGCCCCGAGCCUCAAUAGGUUCAGAGCACACCCCACCCUCUGAUCAGCAGGGCAUAAACUCGUGGAGAAACACCCCUCCAUGUCUGAUAACCAUCUCAUAGCAACAAUCGAGUCCUGAACUCCAUCGAAUGUGGGAGGCUUCGCAUAAUAGAAGUCCCGAUACUGAAAACCCCGACUAGCCCCUUUCUUUGCCGUUGCUACAGCCGCUGUAACCGCCGCGGCAGCCGUCUCUGCGAAAGCCGCAUAUCGCUCAUCAAACUACUUCAAUCAUAGUGGUCCUGAUCGACCCAAACAAUUCUGGCGACUCAGCCCGCAACAAUGCAGCAACCUCAUCACGCCGGAUCUCGCGAAUCCUCGCAUCCCGCUCGCUCGUGCUCGUCCGAUCGAUAACCGGAUAACAAGAUAGCCACAAGCAUCAUCCACUACGAACCAUGGUACUCAUCCCAUGACAUCCUUCCUCAACAUGCUUCGGUGUAUGGUACCUGAACCAUAGCACCAUUCCUCAACCUGCUCCAAUGUAUAGCACUCGAACCACAACAUCUAUCUCAAUCUGUUCCGAUGUAUGGUGCCCUGACCAUAACAUCACUCUGUAUCCGCUCCGAUGUAUGGUAUCCGAACCAUAACAUCACCCCUCAAUCUGUUCCUUAGGACCUUCAGAAUGCCCCCUGUAUCAAGUAUGGGUCCUCUGCUUUCAGUAGUACGGGCCCAUACUACCUGCCACAUCUACCCAUACUUUCCACACGGACCAUCCCAGAGUUCCUAAGUAGCUGAUAAACCUGCUCUUUCACCCAUCUCAUCGCGCGUGCUCGCUUUCCAGCGAAAUCCUCUACUCUACCAGCGCACUCAUCUGGCUAGGUUUACUCCCUAGUCCCUUCCGCUGUCCUCCCACUUCUUUGCUAUCAGCUGCUGAAGAGUUCCUAAUGAUGCCAGCCCUCUACCUCCUGAGUAUCGUCAUACUCACUUAGUAGCUGACUCCCAUCAUCGAUAACUCCACAAAGCACAAAGCAAGCAGCAUUCGAGCAUUGAAGCAUACAUAGGACUCCCCAUCUGUGGUAGCUCCACCUUCUCGGCUCAUCCUCGGAAGUACCUCUGUACCCCGUAGCUUUACCCCUUGUGCGUUCUAACUAGAUACUCUCACUCAUCACAUACACACAAAAGCAUAACGCACAUAUAACAGCAAACCCUAGACUAAGGCAUCACAAAUCAGGCCACUCUAGUCCUAAGAUGUGAAAUACCUAGCCUGUCUCUAGCAUGCAAUAAUGUCUCAUAAAGUGCAUAAUAGAUAUUUCAUAAUACAAAAGUAAGGGUAUUUUGGGAAAUCACCGUUUGGCUCUGGCUGAUUGUACACACUGCUCUUUCUUGCUUUCUCUUUGAACUCUUAUUCACUUUUAGAAAACCAUUUAUUUGGAAAACUUUUUCUUACUUCCUCAGUUUGAGUCCAGAUUUACCCGUAGGCGCGUCCGAAUCCCUCAAACCAAGGCUCUGAUACCAAUUUGUAACACCAAGAUUUCCAAAAACAAAAUUUUCAUUUAAUUAAUCAAUUUAAUAUUAAAAACACUUGUUUAAAAUCUUAUUCACAUUCGAAUUACAAAACAUAGUUUCAUUUUCAUUAUAAUAGAAGACCAGGAUCCUCCAAAACACAACUCUUUCUUCGGUGUGUACAAUCGAACCGUUGCCAUCCCGCGUUACUGUAAGAACCUGAAACAACAUAACAUAAACAACGUAAGCACGAAGCUUAGUGAGUUCCCCAAUAUACCUUACGCACAUACGCCUUCCGGCCCGGACCUUUCGAUCCACAUAACAUUGCCUUCCGGCCCGGACCUUUCGGUCCACAUAACAUUGCCUUCCGGCCCGGACCUUUCGGUCCAUAAUAUAUAUCGCCUUCCGGCCCAUAAGAUAAUUGCCUUCCGGCCCAUACACAUAUAUAACACAUAAUACAAAUACUCUAACACAUAAAGCACAUAUAUCAUAUAUCAUACCUGACCUUUCUGUCACAUAAUACCUUGCCUUCCGGCCCAUAUAUAAGCAUGUAUAUCACGCGUAGCAGCUAACUUUCCAUUUAUAGCAUAUAAACAUAACACAUAACAUACUUGACCUUCCGGUCACACAAUCAAACCCUUCCGGGUGAGGUAUAGUGAGAAGACUCACCUCGCGGACACUAGAAGAUAGCAACUCCUAAAAUCCCUUGCACUUGAUCCUCCGAGCU
rnacentral:lncRNA from 1 species